UGUUGAUAACAAUAAAAUAGGAUCACCUGCUAAUUAGCAAGGUUUACAGGAAUCACACAAAAAAGUGGCCACCUAAGUGGUCAUUUGAAUCCUGGUAACAAAUGAUAUAUACUGUUGCUACAAAUCUAUUUGCAACAGAGUAUAGAUAGUAACCUGGAAGUAUAAAUAGAGUGGAUAAUAAACGCUAAGGAAGCUAAAUACAACCGCUAAUAUAGUCGACUCAAAUAUAUCCUUGUAGAGAAAUGUGUACAGUAUUAACUGCACAUGCAGAUUCUAGAAAUAAAGGUAUAAGUAUCCUCAGGGAGUAUACUAGAAUUGCUUCCUAGAGUAAAGGGGUUUCAAACCAAUAAUAGACACAGGGUAUAUAGGGGUAUUUGGGUAAAAGUGGACGGCAGUACACCCAAACUAAUGGUAUAGUUGGGACACUAGCCGAGUACAGUACAUAAACCCCAAUUGUAAAUAUCCCAUAUAUCCCAAGUGCUCUAGAUAAAUGGAACAGGUAUAGUGCAAAGGCUGAGAUCAUAGAUCGUGGGUUUUGCCCA